CCUUAAUUCUACUUGGCAUUGAUUCAACAAAGUGCUGAAAGCAUUCUUUAGAAAUGUUGGCCCAUAUUGAUAGGAUAGCAUCUUGCAGUUGAUGGAGAUUUGUGGGAUGCACAUCCAGGGCACGAAGCUCCCGUUCCACCACAUCCCAAAGAUGCUCUAUUGGGUUGAGAUUAGGGUGACCACCCGUCCCGCGUAGCGCGUGAACGCACAGCGUUUGAAGCCCAAUUCAUGCGUCCCGCAAAUUGAGACCGUGUCACGCAUAAUCAAUGCUUGCUUAAAAAAAGUUGGUCGCUCUAUAUCCUUGAGCCCCAGGCAGCCAAACGAACAUUACUAGACAGUUCAGGCUCGCUCCCCACUCGCUACUCGCACGCUACUGUUGCCCCUCAGCUGAACUGCUGACUAGGUUGUUGUUAACUUUUCGUUGUUGUCAUGACAGCGCAGUCCGCACGCAGCCACGCACGUGUAUCCCUUUUAGAUGCGCGCUUUCCAAUUCGAAAAAUGGAGAAAGAGACUGAGUCUGACUCUGCACCGCCAUCAUCAAUUAAAAAGAGAAGGUGUGGGUACAAGAAAGACUGGGAAAAUAAAUAUUUGUGGCUGAAAGUCCUAAAGAUGUUUCCAGAACACUGAACAGUUUUUUUCCUGCGCCUGCCUUUACUAACAUGCAAGUUCACCAUCCUUCCUCCCUCUUCUCGUUCCGUGAACCCCUGGAGUUAGCCUGCGUUUGAUUCAGCUCAUGCAAUUUUGAAGAGACAAAUCAUCUGGGAUUAUUCAGCAUACUGAUGCUGGGAGAUUAUUUGCCCAAUAUAGCCAUCCAAGAUUAUCCUGACCGGUAUUACCCUGGAUUAUUUUCUGCACAUGCAAAAAUGAUUCCCGAAACGACCGACUCAUCACAACAACCUCAAUGUCAACAGAAUUGGAACUUUCAAAAAUCAUAGCGAAUCCUAGAGAGGAGAAAGAGGAAUCUUGGAAUCACC